rnacentral:tRNA from 1 species
AGGUGAUUAGCUCAGUUGGUUAGAGCGCUUCGUUGACAUCGAAGAGGUCACUGGUUCGAGUCCAGCAUUACCUA